GACGAGUCUCACGAACGUUAUUCGGAAUCACUGGGCUUAAAGGGCGCGUAGGCGGGCUAUCAAGUCCGGGGUGAAAUCCUCCAGCUUAACUGGAGAACGGCCUCGGAUACUGAUGGUCUCGAGGAGGAUAGGGGCACACGGAACUGUGGGUGGAGCGGUGAAAUGCGUUGAUAUCCAUAGGAACUCCGGUGGCGAAAGCGGUGUGCUGGAUCCUUUCUGACGCUGAGGCGCGAAAGCGUGGGGAGCAAACAGG
rnacentral:rRNA from 1 species